GACGAACGCUGGCGGCGUGCUUAACACAUGCAAGUCGAGCGGUAAGGCCCUUUCGGGGGUACACGAGCGGCGAACGGGUGAGUAACACGUGGGUGACCUGCCCUCAGCUCUGGGAUAAGCCUGGGAAACCGGGUCUAAUACUGGAUAUGACUCCAUGACGCAUGUUGUGGGGUGGAAAGCCUUGUGCGGCUGAGGAUGGGCCCGCGGCCUAUCAGCUUGUUGGUGGGGUGANGGCCUACCAAGGCGACGACGGGUAGCCGGCCUGAGAGGGCGACCGGCCACACUGGGACUGAGGCACGGCCCAGACUCCUACGGGAGGCAGCAGUGGGGAAUCUUGCGCAAUGGGCGAAAGCCUGACGCAGCGACGCCGCGUGAGGGAUGACGGCCU
rnacentral:rRNA from 1 species